ACUGGAUCGCUUACCUGCCUGGAAGUCUUGUCUGGCAUGUUCCUCAGACAGUGUUGAUGGAAGCUGCUGAGUGACACUCCGGUCCUUUGAGCCUGGCAAGUUGUGCGGAGAAACGGAGGGAGGCGGUUGUGGACAUGGCGAGGCUACAUCACGGUUUGCUGUGGAUGUUGGGGCCUGGUGGUCACUGAGAUGUCUGUGGGGCCACACGCUGCCUGCUGUACCCAUGGGAGCGAGGGCACCCUGUGUGGGUGUCCCAGCUUCUUCGGCGUCACGACUCCCUGAGCUUUCUCCAAACAGUUACAAACGUUUCUUCUCAUCUGGCUUGAAGUUCGUGGCUCCGAAGUGGCCAAUUCCAGGGGACACUAUCUUCAGAGGCUCCUCCGUGUUUCAUUGUCCUGAUGUGUCGUCGGCUGCUUAUCCCCAGGGCUAGCUGAGGGUUUCGCGGGAGGUUCUAGCUGUGUGUCUUUAGGUGACUGGACAGCCGUGCGUGGCUUCCCUGUGCCUACUGUUGGUGUUGGGCACCACUGACCACUGCAGCCCAGAGCCCCUUCUCCUCCCCUGCACUUGGUUAGGGUUUGCU
rnacentral:lncRNA from 1 species